CAGGCCUAACACAUGCAAGUCGAACGGUAGCACAGAGAAGCUUGCUCCUUGGGUGACGAGUGGCGGACGGGUGAGUAAUGUCUGGGGAUCUGCCCGAUAGAGGGGGAUAACCACUGGAAACGGUGGCUAAUACCGCAUAACGUCGCAAGACCAAAGAGGGGGACCUUCGGGCCUCUCACUAUCGGAUGAACCCAGAUGGGAUUAGCUAGUAGGCGGGGUAAUGGCCCACCUAGGCGACGAUCCCUAGCUGGUCUGAGAGGAUGACCAGCCACACUGGAACUGAGACACGGUCCAGACUCCUACGGGAGGCAGCAGUGGGGAAUAUUGCACAAUGGGCGCAAGCCUGAUGCAGCCAUGCCGCGUGUAUGAAGAAGGCCUUCGGGUUGUAAAGUACUUUCAGCGGGGAGGAAGG
rnacentral:rRNA from 1 species